UAAGACGAAGGUGGCGAGCGUUGUUCGGAAUCACUGGGCAUAAAGCGCACGUAGGCGGUGCCGUAAGUCGGGUGUGAAAUCCCUCGGCCUAACCGAGGAACUGCGCCCGAUACUGCGGUGCUUGAGGACCAGAGGGGUGCAUGGAAUUUCCGGUGGAGCGGUGAAAUGCGUUGAUAUCGGAAGGAACUCCGGCGGCGAAAGCGAUGCACUGGCUGGUUUCUGACGCUGAGGUGCGAAAGCCAGGGGAGCAAACGGGAUUAGAUACCCCGGUAGUCCUGGCCGUAAACGAUGGGUACUAGGUAGGGGGAUUUCAAACGUCUCUCUGCUGGAGUGAAUAUAUUAAGUACCCCGCCUGGGAAGUACAGUCGCAAGGCUG
rnacentral:rRNA from 1 species